rnacentral:pre_miRNA from 1 species
CUUUUACUCCCUCCGUCAGGAAAUACUUGUCAUUGAAAUGGAUGUAUCUAGAUGUAUUUUAGUUCUAGACACAUCCAUUUUGAUGACAAGUAAUUCCGGACGGAGGGAGUACUUG